CGAUGCAUGUUCAGUGAAAUCGAGUAGGGCGGGACACGUGUUAUCCUGUCUGAAUAUGGGGGGACCAUCCUCCAAGGCUAAAUACUCCUGACUGACCGAUAGUGAACCAGUACCGUGAGGGAAAGGCGAAAAGAACCCCUGUGAGGGGAGUGAAAUAGAACCUGAAACCGUGUACGUACAAGCAGUAGGAGCACCUUCGUGGUGUGACUGCGUACCUUUUGUAUAAUGGGUCAGCGACUUAUAUUCAGUGGCAAGGUUAACCAUCUAGGGGAGCCGUAGGGAAACCGAGUCUUAACUGGGCGCCAUAGUCUCUGGAUAUAGACCCGAAACCGAGUGAUCUAGCCAUGGGCAGGUUGAAGGUUGAGUAACAUCAACUGGAGGACCGAACCGACUAAUGUUGAAAAAUUAGCGGAUGACUUGUGGCUAGGGGUGAAAGGCCAAUCAAACUCGGAGAUAGCUGGUUCUCCCCGAAAGCUAUUUAGGUAGCGCCUCGGACGAAUACUACUGGGGGUAGAGCACUGUUAAGGCUAGGGGGUCAUCCCGACUUACCAACCCUUUGCAAACUCCGAAUACCAGUAAGUACUAUCCGGGAGACACACGGCGGGUGCUAACGUCCGUCGUGGAGAGGGAAACAACCCAGACCGCCAGCUAAGGUCCCAAAUUACAGCUAAGUGGGAAACGAUGUGGGAAGGCUUAGACAGCUAGGAUGUUGGCUUAGAAGCAGCCAUCAUUUAAAGAAAGCGUAAUAGCUCACUAGUCGAGUCGGCCUGCGCGGAAGAUGUAACGGGGCUAAGUUGUAAA
rnacentral:rRNA from 1 species